AGUGUCUCCUUCCUUGCAGAAGCAUUUGUAUUAACUGCUGUUGUGGUAGCAGAAGAUUCUUUUAAACAGUUGUGUGGACGGGAAACGUACGGAUGUUGCCUGUCUUGGUCUACAACAGACAAGGAAAUAUGUAAUGAUUGCAAAGACGGAUAUUUUGGAAGUAAAUGCGAAAAGCUAUGUCGCUAUCCGAACUAUGGAAAACUUUGCCAGUUUCACUGCAAUUGUACAGAAGAGGAUUGUGACCACAUUUCUG